UACGUAGGGUGCAAGCGUUGUCCGGAAUUAUUGGGCGUAAAGAGCUCGUAGGCGGUCUGUCGCGUCUGCUGUGAAAACUCGGGGCUUAACCCCGGGCCUGCAGUGGGUACGGGCAGACUAGAGUGCGGUAGGGGAGACUGGAAUUCCUGGUGUAGGCGGUGAAAUGCGCAGAUAUCUGGAGGAAUACCGGUGGCGAAGGCGGCAAGUCCUGGACCAUUACUGACGCUGAGGCGCGAAAGCUAAGGGGAGCAAAGCGGGGAU
rnacentral:rRNA from 1 species